AAACAGCCCUAAUCAAAAAUGCGAAAUUUGAUAAAUCUGUACUAAUUUAGUCAGCUUUAUCUGGUGAAUGCCUAACAGCUCACAAUUAUUAAUUAUUACAGGAACUAUAAAAAUAAAUGUAAGGAAAAACCAAGUAUAUAAAAUAAUGUCAAGCUCAUUGGUAAGUUACUAUAUGUAUGUUUGUUUUCUGUUUAAACUUCUGGCGCUGUUGGCUCACCCAAAAAUUACUGUAUGUUUAUUUGUGUUCAUUUUAAACCACUUGCACAAUGUUG